AUCUUGAGAAAUUUCCACAACACUAUAAUUAAGUUCAUUUUCAUUAAGUACUUUUCGAAUUAUAAGGCUUGCAAGUUACAGCAUCGCCG